GAUAAACGCUGGCGGCAUGCCUAAUACAUGCAAGUCGAACGAACUAGUUUACUAGUUAGUGGCGAACGGGUGAGUAACACGUAAGUAAUCAACCUAUAAGACGAGGAUAACUACUGGAAACGGUAGCUAAUACUGGAUAGGAUAGGGACCUGUAGGGGACCCUAUUUAAAGGCGCUUCAAAGCGCCGCUAAUAGCUGAGCUUGCGGCGCAUUAGAUAGUUGGGGAGGUAAUGGCUCACCAAGUCAACGAUGCGUAGCUGGGCUGAGAGGCCGAACAGCCACACUGGGACUGAGACACGGCCCAGACUCCUACGGGAGGCAGCAGUAGGGAAUUUUCGGCAAUGGACGAAAGUCUGACCGAGCAAUGCCGCGUGAAUGAAGACGGUCUUCGGAUUGUAAAGUUCUGUUAAUGGGAAAGAACACUUAGUAUAGGAAAUGAUACUAAGAUGACGGUACCCAUUUAGAAAGCCCCGGCUAACUACGUAGCCAGCAGCCGCGGUAAUGUCAG
rnacentral:rRNA from 1 species